rnacentral:lncRNA from 1 species
UCCGAUAUAAGACAAAAAUUUCUAAGUGGAGAAGCAUUUUCCUCCUCUCUUUCUCUCUCUUCAAGACUGCAGUUCUUCCUCUUCUUUUUUUAUCUCUCAUUCACCUUCAUUAAACCUUAAAUCUUAGAAAUUCAUUUAUUAUCCUUCUUUAUCUCUAUUUAAUUGCUCCAGAAUCAUUCCUCCUUCAUAUACGCACUCGCGAUUCUCGGAGCAAUUUCUCCUCUCGUCUGAAUUCGCGAUUCAAUCACCUCCAACAUCAAAUUACUAAUUCAUCAAAUUCUUAACCACCAAUAUUGCACCCAUAUGGAAUUGACUGGUUCUAGACUAUCACAACUAUCCAAUCAGGUCAUACUAGUUUCAUGGACACUUGGGAGUGUUUUAUUUAUUCAGUUUGCAGGAGGCUCAAAGUUUUAACCUCUACGUCAGUAUUCCUUUAAUUACCACCAUUGGAGGAUUUAUUUCAAAAGCAUUAACAUCUUGUUCCUUACAUUUAUUUGCAGCUUAUUGUUAUCCCACUCCAGCAACCAUCCUACGGUCUUGAAGGGAGAGAAAUAGAGGAGACAAAUGCUUCUCCAUUUGGGGAUUUUAGGGUAUAAAAGUAGUUACUCAUGUUAUGUGGGACCAUGAAAAAAAAAUUGUUGAGUCAUUUUUGUUUGUGUAACCUGCAAUUGAAGGUCAUUUUGAAGGGACCAUGGGUGCACCCUUAAAAAUAGGGACCAUAUUAGGGGCACCCG